GAACGCACAUUGCGCCCGCCAGCAUUCUGGCGGGCAUGCCUGUUCGAGCGUCAUUUCAACCCUCGAGCCCGACUUCCUUGCGGAGGACGGCUCGGCGUUGGGGGACGGCACACUCCCCCCGGCUUGCCGGGGACGCCGCCCCCGAAAUUCAGUGGCGGCCCUCGGAGGCGACCUCUGCGUAGUAAUUUAACCUCGCAAAGGAAAGCUUCGAGCGGCCACGCCGUGAAACCCCAACUAUUUUAAGGUUGACCUCGAAUCAGGUAGGACUACCCGCUGAACUUAAG
rnacentral:misc_RNA from 1 species